UGGGGAAUGCAGCAGCUUCUUGACAACCGAAUCACAGCUAGUAUGAUGUAUCCUUGAACUAAACAGUCCAGUGGUCAUCCCCUGACUGCUGCUGCCCCAGCUCAUCCAAUCAUUUGGUGGGCCUCAUGCAGUAAGUUGAAGGUUGUAAGAGCAAAGAUAGAAGGCCUUCCCAAAGAAUGAGGACUUCUGCCUGAGGAUAGCAAAUACCAAUUCUGCAUGGGUUUCCUGGCUUCAGACUCAAGAAUGCAAUAUCAACUCUUACUGGAAUUUCUAUCCUACCAGCUUGCCCUGCAAAUUUCAGACUUGCCAGCCCUUGCAAUUGUCUUCUUUGAUUCCUGGGCCAGGUGCAUAUUUUGCUCCGUGAUGAAGGACAUCAACAAGUUUCUGUUGCAGAAUACCCCCAACAUUCAAACUGGAGUUUGGAGGUGAAGGGAACCUGAAAAAGCUGAUCUACUGGGAUGCAUAAAAUCUGGAAACUGACCCUCAGGUCAGGAACUGAAACUUACCAGCUCACGCAUCCAGCCAAUGAGAAGUAAAACCCCUCAUUCAUCACGAUUGCUUCCUUACCCCUCCGUAAUUCCUGUUUUCCUGUACAUAGCUAAUACAUUCCUUACCUGCUGUACAAAUCUCCAAUAUAUUCAGUUGAGUUACACAGGUUUGAGGUUUGGCUCCCACCUCUACAGCUGACGUCACCCAAAUGAAAAGCCUGCUUCCCUGGCAAUACUUGUUGUCUUGGUGAUUGGUUUCCUGUGCUGCAAACAUUUGAGACCUAGAUGGAACCCCUGGCAUUUCAGUAACAACGUUUACAAUUUUUAUAUUGUAACAGAGUAACAAUGUUAGUCAUUUAUCUAUGACACAUAGAAGAGAGCAGAUAGAACUCCAUGUCGUGGUAAUAUGACAGAAGGAGGAAAAGAUGGUUGCAGCUGUGUUCAAGUUUGCAGAUUUUGUGUUAAGAUAAAGACAAAGCUACCGUCUGGGGACCUCUAUAUUAUUCAAUCUGAGGAGAAUAAUAGAGGUUGUGUAAUAAGUUUGAGGAUAUGAGAGUACGAUACUAUAUAGCCAGCCUUUCCUCUCACAUUUUAAGUUUCAUCUUUCAUGCCACCUCUUGCAAUGCUAUCUCCCGCCAGAGGCCUUCCCUGGUCACACUAUCCCAUGUACUAUGUAACCCCACUCCCAACUAGUCUACUGCUUGAUUUAUUUCCUUCACAACACUUUUCACUAUGUUAGUUUAUUUACUUAUUGUCUUUUUGCCCUAGUGUUUUGUUGGUUCAACUGGACAAAGGAUGCUGAACUUGUUCAUAUCUAUUUCGAUUAUCUUAAUUUCCAUUAGAACUUAAGGUAAUAUUUAUUAAAAAAAAACAGUGAUUAUAGGCUGAAAGGUAAAAGAAGAUGGGGGAACUUUCUUUCUUGAUCAAAUGAUAGGUUUCACAGCAGAGAAAAAUUUCUUUGGGGAGGAAAUAGGAAGUUAUCGUCUACGUUGCUAAGAGUGGGAGUGGUGGGGGGAAGGAGAGGGACAGUUCAGUGACAACAGCAACUGAAAUUCAGCUGAAUAGCCAGGGGAGUCAUAGCCUGAGCAGCCUCUCGUGGAGCAAGCCACAACCACUCUGAGCCUUGGUUUACUCUGACAUGAAAAGAUUUUAGGUGGUCUCUAAGACCUCCAGCCUCUUAAAUAACAUGGUGAUUCUUUUUACUCUGUUUUGCCAUUGCAUCUUGUGUGUAUCUGUAUAAUAAAUUUUGCCACAUUCCUUCACCCUUGCUUUGUGCAUAUACGGUACUUGUUUAUUCUCUUCACGACUAUAAUUCAAACGCAUGUGAGAGAACAGUUGGAGGUGGGGUGGAUGGCUACUGAAUUUAAAUAUUUUUGUUUGUAAGCAGAUUUGAAUUAACAUAUGGUCCUCUGCAGUUGUGUGAAGGUAAAGUGCUAGGCAGAUAUUUCUAUGGACCACUGGACAAGAGUUAUUCUGGUUCAUUUCUUCUAAAGCAUCCAGUCCAAAUUGUUUCCGUACUCUUCUUUUUAGAGUAACUUAUAUGACUUUCUAAAUCUUUUCACUUGGCUGCCACAGAUUUGAGACAGAUAAUAUAUUUUUCUGUCUUUUUGUCUGUUCUAAAUGUCCAGGCUGCAGGAGACAAUAAAACAGGCUAUGAAUUCCUGAGCUGGUUUCCAUUCAUAGGAGACAUUAAGCUCCACAAGAUUGAUCAAAUUUCACAUCACCAGGUGCCUGCAGCCCUGAGAGUGCCUUACAUAAUUAUUUAAUUUAUAGUUGUAAAUCACAUUUGGAUCAUAAAAUUCCAGCUAGAUAAGUGUAUGGAGCAAACAUGUAAUUAAGAUUAGAGUCCUCACAAAGAAGGUGACUAUUAUUUAUGGUCAUUACCAUCCUGAUACUGUAAAAUGAACUGACGUUUUAGGAUUCUUAAAUUACUUAAGGGUCCUAAGGUAAUUUAAUAUUCAUUAAUAAACCCAACUAAACUAGUACAAAUUAUUGACAUUGACCAUAGAGCUGCAAAUUUAAAAAACUGUUGUGCUUCCUUGUAAAAUAUUUGAAGUUUAAAGUGGCAAUCUGAAUGGAAAAAUUAUAUGACUGCUUACUAGUGAAGUACAUUUACAUUGUCAUCCUAAUUGAUAUGCUUAGAAGUUUAAACCAUGGUAUAUUUUCUUCUCUACCUGUUUUGUUUGUUUGUUUGUUCCCACAUAGUACUUUGAGGGAGGAUAUCUUAGUCCCAUCUUUCUAACCCCAGCUGCAGCUCAAUGCCACACAACAAACUUCAUCAGCUAAGAAAAUAACUGCUAAUUAAAAUUACUGAAAUAAAAUAUUUUCAAUGGAUAUUAAGCAGUCAUACAAAACAUAUUUUCAAGAGUUUUGAGAAUAUGAAGAAAAUUAUUGGGUUAUAAUAUUAUGUAUUACACUGAAAGAGUGUGAUCACAAAUAUGAAAUGAACCUUUGUCAUAUGCGGUUAUCUCUCUCUGCUCUAGGUAAUGGAAUUAUAUUUAAUUUUAGUUCCUUUCCUAGUGUUUAUUUUUUAUUGCAAAUAAUACAUUGAAUGUUUCUCACUUUAUAAGAAUAAAAAGAAAAAAGUAUUUUUAGAAAGAUGCCCUUUUUUAUCCUUUUUUAUAUAUGAACCUGUGAAUCUGGCUGUGUAAAUACUGCAGGUUUAAUAUUAUACAAAUUAAUAGUACAUCAAUUGAUUAUUUUUUAUUUCUUUGUUUUAUACAGGCAAAAUUAUUAUGAAUGUGAAUAUAGUAUGCAUUUCUUUCCACAUCUGUUCUGAGAAAAUAAAUAAUACAUGGUAAAGUUCUAAAUCUGACAAAAUAUAGCUUUUUAGUGGAGGGGAAAUAGUAAAGCAGAAGAGCAAUAACAACAGAAAAACAGGAAUCAUUUAUACAUCUCUCUAGGCUAUUAUAUUGGCAAAUCUGAAAGGAAAGGAAACGAACCUCGGGUCACAUACUUAGUUCUCAAUGUGAUGAUUGCCAUUGGUGAUUUUUCAUUUGGAAUAUCCACAUCCAGUAGUCUAUCUCAGAAUGCUUCAAUAUCAAGUCAUUGUGUUUGCUGCAUAUGUCCUUAUACAUUGAAUAACCAUAACAACUUUAAUGUGUAUAAAUCUUACAAAAUUUCAAAAUGCUCUCUUCCAUGUUGAAAUAUGAAGACAUUAUCUUUUAGAUAUCU
ensembl:lncRNA novel transcript